CACACGCGCAGACAGACACGAUUCUCCCGGCCGCCGUCGUCGAGGAACUGAACCGUGCAGGGGGCAUGCAGCUUCCCGGAAGCUGCUAGCUUGGCAAUGCGUGUAUAUAGAGUUGUCUCCCCGGCCAUUCUCUAACACGUAUACGUACCAAGAAGAGGUCGAGGGACGAGGUGUCUCCAAGCAGAGGCCGGUCCUCUGCAAGCUGCCGCUACGAUCUUGGACGGCCGGCGGCAAACGUACUGCUGGUCCGACAUUCGUCGCGGGGAGCCAGCUGCCGGCACGGCGCACCCGAGGACCUGCGCGCGGUUGCAGCCUGCAGUUUCCUACAUUGGGCCAGUGUGGUAGCUUCUCACUGACACAAUGGAACAAGUAGAGAUUUGGGCACCCAUCUUCGCUGAUCCUCUCCCAAGCCAGGCGGAGAUUGAAGUUUACUCAACAUCCCUGGAUUAUGACACCACAGACUUCCAAGCACUCUUAGAAGGACCCCAAAAUGAACAUGAUUUGGACAGAUUGCUGAAAUGUGCAUUCAAUCCUACUUAUAUAAAGGAGGCAAAUUUAACUCACGAGGCAAGAUUUUCACACAUGCAAAAGUACAAACUUGCUAAUAAAUAAACAUGGCAAAUGGUACUGGAAAUAUGUAUCAUCAUUGCAGAUUGAAUGCAGAUUUUAUUCACCAAGUAGUGAUCAUGGCAUGACAAUACAAACACUUGGACCUGCUCCACCAGAGGCGCUGCCUGAGAAAGAGGAGGCCCUUGCCACCAUGGCCCUUGGCAGCGGCGGCGGCGGUGGAGGAGGAGGAGAGGAGGAGGAGGAGGAGGAGGAGGAGGAGGAGGAGCAUACAGAUACCCACUGCCUUGUCAUCAAAGAAGCAGGAGGCUUGCACCCACCGCCACACUGCUGGAGGAGGGGGCCUGCCAUCUACUAGGUAUGAAUUAGGAUCCAUUUGUUGCAAUAUACGACUUGUCAUUGUCUCAUGUAGUUAAAUACAUAUGAGCUUCAGAUUACAUGCCAAAAAGUUGUUGGAUGCACAGGAGUCGUGAGAAGUGCACGCAAGAGAGGAACAUGGUCGAUAAACAUGGAACCAUGUUCCCAGGACUUCUGCUCUGCAAGUGAAGGCCACAAACAUGGGGGCAGAAGAAACAACGACCAUUGGACAUCUGAAGAGGUGAAAGAGCUAGUGGAUGUUGUAUCUGUAUAUGGGGUUGGACAUUGGACUAAAUUGAAGAAUGAAAGGUUUCCGAUAUCAGUUCGAACGGCGGAGCAUCUUAAGGAUAAAUGGAGAAACUUGUUGAAAGCCUACACGGUCAGGCCCACAUCUAAAAAGAAGGUUUUAUUCCACAAGUAUGCUGAAUUCAUUAUGGAACACCACUGAUUUUCAUCUCUUUCAUUUCUUAAAUUCC